rnacentral:rRNA from 1 species
AAACCAACAGGGAUUGCCUUAGUAGCGGCGAGUGAAGCGGCAAGAGCUCAAAUUUGAAAUCUGGUACCUUUGGUGCCCGAGUUGUAAUUUGAAGAUCACAAUCUUGGAAUUGGUCCUUGUCUAUGUUCCUUGGAACAGGACGUCACAGAGGGUGAGAAUCCCGUGCGAUGAGGAUACCUUUUUCAUUUAAGAUGUGUUCGACGAGUCGAGUUGUUUGGGAAUGCAGCUCAAAGUGGGUGGUAAAUUCCAUCUAAAGCUAAAUAUUGGCGAGAGACCGAUAGCGAACAAGUACAGUGAUGGAAAGAUGAAAAGAACUUUGAAAAGAGAGUGAAAAAGUACGUGAAAUUGUUGAAAGGGAAGGGUAUUUAAUCAGACUUGGUAUUUAGCUAUCUCUUCUCCUUGUGGGAGGGGCUCUAGCUUUUUACUGGGCCAGCAUCAGUUUUGGUGGUAAGAUAAUCGCAGUUGAAUGUGGCUCCUCGGAGUGUUAUAGCUUCUGUUGAUGUUACCUACUGGGACUGAGGUCUGCGGCUUUGCCUAGGAUGCUGGCGUAAUGAUUAAACACCGC